rnacentral:rRNA from 1 species
UACGUAGGGGGCAAGCGUUGUCCGGAUUUAUUGGGCGUAAAGAGCGUGUAGGCGGCCAUACAGGUCCGUUGUGAAAACUGGAGGCUUAACCUCCAGACGUCGAUGGAAACCGUAUGGCUAGAGUCCGGAAGAGGAGAAUGGAAUUCCUGGUGUAGCGGUGAAAUGCGCAGAUAUCAGGAAGAACACCCGUGGCUAAGGCGGUUCUCUAGUACGGUACUGACGCUGAGACGCGAAAGCGUGGGGAGCGAACAGG